UACGAAGGGGGCUAGCGUUGCUCGGAAUCACUGGGCGUAAAGGGUGCGUAGGCGGAUCUUUUAAGUCAGGGGUGAAAUCCUGGAGCUCAACUCCAGAACUGCCUUUGAUACUGAGGAUCUCGAGUUCGGGAGAGGUGAGUGGAACUGCGAGUGUAGAGGUGAAAUUCGUAGAUAUUCGCAAGAACACCAGUGGCGAAGGCGGCUCACUGGCCCGAUACUGACGCUGAGGAGCGAAAAGCGUGGGGAGCGAACAGG
rnacentral:rRNA from 1 species